AUAUCUCUCUGUACGGGAAGGAUGAGAAGCUUCGACUAAGGUUCGAUUCGAGCGCAGCGAGAAAGCGUUGCCGUAGGCAACGACCCGAAGGGAGAAGCGCGCAGCGCUGAGUAAUCCUUCCCCCGUCAUCC
rnacentral:sRNA from 1 species